UUGGAGGGCAAGUCUGGUGCCAGCAGCCGCGGUAAUUCCAGCUCCAAUAGCGUGUAUUAAAGUUGUUGCAGUUAAAAAGCUCGUAGUUGAAUUUCGGGACCAAUUUGUUGGUCGUGCCUCGGUACGUACUGGUAUUAUUGGUUUCUCCCUUCUGAAGAACCUUGAUGUCAUUAAUUUGGUGUCUUGGGGAAUCAGGACUGUUACUUUGAAAAAAUUAGAGUGUUUAAAGCAGGCAUACGCUUGAAUACAUUAGCAUGGAAUAAUGAAAUAGGACGUUCGAUCCUAUUUUGUUGGUUUCUAGGAUCGACGUAAUGAUUAAUAGGGAUAGUUGGGGACAUUAGUAUUCAAUUGUCAGAGGUGAAAUUCUUGGAUUUAUUGAAGACUAACUACUGCGAAAGCAUUUGCCAAGGAUGUUUUCAUUUAUCAAGAACGAAAGUUAGGGGAUCGAAGACGAUCAGAUACCGUCGUAGUCUUAACCAUAAACUAUGCCGACUAGGGAUCGGAUGAUGUUAUUUUUAAUGACUCAUUCGGCGCCUUACGGGAAAC
rnacentral:rRNA from 1 species